rnacentral:rRNA from 1 species
UACAGAGGGCGCGAGCGUUGUUCGGAUUUACUGGGCGUAAAGGGCGCGUAGGCGGCGAAUCAAGUCAGCUGUGAAAUCUCCGAGCUUAACUCGGAACGGUCAGCUGAUACUGUUUUGCUAGAGUGCAGAAAGGGCAACCGGAAUUCUUGGUGUAGCGGUGAAAUGCGUAGAUAUCAAGAGGAACACCUGAGGCGAAGGCGGGUUGCUAGGCUGACACUGACGCUGAAGCGCGAAAGCUAGGGUAGCAAACGGG